GACGAACGCUGGCGGCGUGCCUAAUACAUGCAAGUCGAGCGAACAGAUGAGGAGCUUGCUCCUCUGACGGUAACGGCGGACGGGUUAGUAACACGUUGAUAACCUACCUAUAAGACUGGGAUAACUUCGGGAAACCGGAGCUAAUACCGGAUAAUAUAUUGAACCGAAUGGUUCACUAGUGAAAGACGGUUUUGCUGUCACUUAUAGAAGGAUCCGCGCCGCAUUAGCUAGUUGUUAAGGUAACGGCUUACCAAGGCAACGAUGCGUAGCCGACCUGAGAGGGUGAUCGGCCACACUGGAAGUGAGACACAGUCGCGACUCCUACGGGAGGAAGCAGUCGGGAAUCCUACGCGAUGGGCGAGAGCCUGACGGAGCAACACCGCGUGAGGGAUGAAGGUCUUCGGAUCGUAAAACUCUGUUAUUAGGGAGGAACUAAUGUGUAAGUAACUGUGCACGUCUUGACGGUACCUAAUCAGAAAGCCACGGCUAACUACGUG
rnacentral:rRNA from 1 species